rnacentral:lncRNA from 1 species
GGCUGUUUCUAAAAAAGAAGGCAUAGACUUUGCUCGGGAGUAUGGAUGCUUGUUUCUGGAGUGUAGUGCAAAGACCCGGGUCAAUGUUGAGCAAUGUUUUGAAGAGCUUGUUCUUAAGGUAGUAACUUUGCUCCUUUCAUCCAAGCUUUCAUACUAAGGAUGAUGAGUAUGUCUUUUAACCUUUCUUUUAAUCCGCAGAUCUUGGAAACACCGAGUCUUACUGCUGAAGGUUCAUCUGGCGGAAAGAAGAACAUUUUCAAACAAAACCCGGCGCAGACCAGCAGUGCUUCGUCAAGCUACUGCUGCUCGUCUUAGAC